UGGGCCCCCGCGGCUCGGCCGCCACCCCUGUCUCGCUCUUCCCUCUCGAGCAUUAACGGCCGCCGAUGUCGUUAAAGGUGUGUGCCCGCGCCUCCCCUCUCCGACAGGGGGAGGAUCCCGCGGGGCCUCUCCCGGGCCCGGCGUCCUUGGGCGGUGUGGUGUGCCGCGUUGGGGGUGUACCCGGCUUCCCCCACCCUCCUGCCGUGCGCGGGUCGGGCCCGAGUUGCCUGUCGAUGCGAGGGGUUCCGCCCGCGGGACCGCCAGCGCACCACGGGGGUGCCGGCGGUGAGAUUCCCGCGCCGCGGUCCCCGGCGGGGGGCUGCCGGCCGCGGACCCGCAGCCGUCGCCCCGUGAGGGGGUGGGCC